rnacentral:misc_RNA from 1 species
AGCAAUGGAGCUUCCACCACUUGAAAUGGAUGAAUAUGAAAAAGAGCACCAAAGAAGAUGUGCAGAUUCCUACAGAAGCAACUCCUGCUGUGAUAACAGAGCCUUCAAAACCUACAAGACCUGUAAAACCUUCAGCACCAUUAGAAGAAGGUCCUGAAGUUACACCUGCAGUUGGAGUAAAGCCUGCAAGAGUGAGAGCUAGGAAACGUAGAGAACCUUCUAGUGAGUUUGAACUGGAGGAACUGGAACCAGUUGUCCAAAGACCUAAGCGACCACGACGACGUCUGUAUGAUUUGAACAUCACAAUCUCUAGAGAAGAAAUGCGUUCAGGAAUGGCCACAGCAAAUGAAAGGCUUACUCAUCCUAUUGAACUACCUCUUCUUCAAGAAACACCUCAAGAAAUGUUUGCUCGUCCUGGUUCUUAUAUAGGUUCUGAAAUACUCCUUCGUUUCUGGAAAAACUUAAAAACUCAAACUGAGUCCAAAGACCCUGCUGCUCCAGGGACAUACAUUGUCAGAGAGGAGAGCUCUCCCAGUGAAGAAUCAGAACAAGGGAUUCCAAGAGCAGAAGAGCCCACUGGUUUGAAAGAACCAGCCAUCUCUUUGGAGGAGAUGGCACUAGAAGUAGAAAGACUGCGUGAAAGAUCCGCACAAGAAGAUAGCAGUUUACUGAAAACACCAGCAUCACUUCAAGAUAUCACAGUGAUAACAGAAGCACAGGAUAUUUCAGGAAAAACCCCAACUGAACAAAUUAGUCCAGAAGCAUUUGCAGAAGUUCCAUUCAUGCUUCCCAUAGCUGAAGAAAUGGAAUCACAGCUAGAAAAAGAGCCAGAACCAGUUGAGAAGACUUUACCACUGCAACCAGAACCAAUUUGUGAAGUCUCACCUCCACGUACUCCUCCCCCACCUUCCCCAUCACCUGAACGUUCACCAAGUCCAUCAAAGGAGAAACUUAAAUUAAUAUUGCAGCAAGCCAUGACAGUGACCAAAACACCAGGUGUGAUCACUUUCAAAGCUUUAAUUUCACCGAAGAUCAACUCUCGUCUUUAUGCUAGCAAUACAUUUUACAAACUUUUGGAAUUUCACAAGAUUGGAGUUGUUCACCUGAAACAGGAAUUUCCUUAUGGAGAUAUAUUUAUCAUUCAACUUUAUUGAUUUUCCUCACCAAAGUAGCUUCUGUUGUUCAGAUUCUUGAGGAAAGUGACUGCUUGUCAUCAUACUUGAGAAGCUACAGAUGAAAAUCUAAGCAUAUUUUAUAAUCUUGUUUGAAAUUGGAGUGAUGUUUUUCUAUUGUGGACCGAUGUUGAGUUUCC